CUCGAGGCCAGAUCUUUCCGGUUGAUCCCGCCGGACCUGACUGCUGUCGGAUUGAUACUAAGCCAUGCGAGUCUUUGUAGCAAUACAAGGCAGACGGCUCAGUAACACGUAGUCAAUCUACCCUAUGGACGGGGAUAACCUCGGGAAACUGAGAAUAAUACCCGAUAGAUCAUUAUGCCUGGAAUGGUUUAUGGUCGAAAUGAUUUAUCGCCGUAGGAUGGGACUGCGGUCUAUCAGCUUGUUGGUGAGGUAAUGGCCCACCAAGGCUAUAACAGAUACGGGCUCUGAGAGGAGAAGCCCGGAGAUGGGUACUGAGACACGGACCCAGGCCCUAUGGGGCGCAGCAGGCGAGAAAACUUUGCAAUGUGCGAAAGCACGACAAGGUUAAUCCGAGUGUUUUCUGCUAAAGAAAUCUUUUGUCAGUCCUAAAAACACUGAUGAAUAAGGGGUGGGCAAGUUCUGGUGUCAGCCGCCGCGGUAAAACCAGCACCUCAAGUGGUCAGGAGGAUUAUUGGGCCUAAAGCAUCCGUAGCCGGCCGUGUAAGUUUUCGGUUAAA
rnacentral:rRNA from 1 species